GACACUGUGGCGGAGUGGUUAACGCGACAGAUUAGAAUUCAGGAUCGUUGUUGAUUUUAUCUGUUCCUCUUGUAGGGCGCACGUUCGAGUCGUGCCAGUGUCG